rnacentral:lncRNA from 1 species
AAAAAAACCAUGCAACCAUGCAGCACUUGCUACCAAGAUAUUAUAGCCUCUAGCUCUUCAGGAAUACAGCUGUGGUCUCUGGAGAGCUGAGAUAAGCAUCAGUCUUAUGGGAGACAUGCCCUGCUUUGGGCUCUGAUUUGACUUCUUGCAACAAAAUGCCCAUUUUCCCUCAAUUGUAUAGGGAUUUAAUACUCCAGACUGAGGUGCUCUGAAUUAAAAUUCAGUUUUGUGCCAAGAGCAAAGGAGAAACAUCCAAAGUGGGGAGCAAACACCGCAAAUUCACAUCUGGCAUUGGUCUCCCACCCCCUUCUGCAGUAGCCAGUGGGUGUGAUACCAGGGAAUUGUCCUCAGCUUGUUGUAGGGCAAAUUAAUUAGCCAGGAGGAGCACAGCCAAUUACAAAGCAAGAAAUUUGAUUGAUAAAGGCACACUAAUUAGGGUAAAGGCAGAAAUUUGGUGUUUGAAUUUAUGGUGUCUUUUAAAGGCCUGUCAGAGGGUGGCCCUGAAUGCAAAACUUGACAGAAAUCUCUAUAGUUGUGGACUGGGACAGGUCUCCAGCUUAGCCCCAGGAGAUACCAUCUUCAUUGUCCCUGACUAUCUCAGCUACAGCAGGAGCAUUUUGGACACUGCUUGGAGCUUCACGGACAGGAAAAUCCCCAUCACCCCUGCCAAAGACACUGACCACUGAGGUGGGGGACAGAUCCUGUGUGAGGACCUGCCUCUGCAAAAGCCAUCAGGGUUCAUCUGUGUGAGCAGUGCAUCAUUUUGGCAGGGCAGGGCUCAGCACAGCCAUGCUCCAGCACCAUGCAGCUAUAGGGGCCGUGCCUGUGUCCUUGCAGCAGGCCAGCAGCAGUCCUGCAGAGGGAAGACAAGGGUCCUGACUCCCCAUCCAGCACUCCAUCGGCUGCUUUAGCUUACCUUGUGUUGUACUCAAGUGCACGGUUAUUUGUAUUCAUUGAAACAAAUUGCAUUACAAUGUCUCUAACAGUAUUUGUAAAACAUCAGAACUCUGAUUCAUAAGCGUGAUUGCCCUUUUAUUCUUCCAUUUGCGUUUCUUUCCUCCUGCAUUCGACCUUCACACUUUAAACGUGCUUCAUUAAGAUAGUAGGAAAAAUAACUAGUGGCACAUUCUAGCCAAAGGAAGGCUGCAGAAACCAACCAAAGCAUUCAGAAUAUGAACAUUGUCAAAAUAUAAGUAAGAGAAAGUACGACAGAAGCCAGAUGGGCUGGGCUCUUCACUUUUAGGCUUUAGAAUGUUUGAGGGUGGAAAUCAUACUCAGGCUGGAGGGAUCCUGCUGGUUUUUCUAGCCAAGAUUCCCAUUAGUGAUAACCUUCAGUUUUUUAUAUGCUCUGCCAUGCAAAGUGACUCAGUCUGGGGCUACCUGGCGUUCCUGGCCAGGUAAAGACAACUUGCUGCAGUCCUCAGGUAACUCUCCUCUUCACUGCAACCUCCUCUCAAGGACACAAGCACAGACCUCCACCCUCUCCCAAUGCCUACAGCACCGAGCCUGACAUG